rnacentral:rRNA from 1 species
CGGGACACGUGGUAUCCUGUCUGAAUAUGGGGGGACCAUCCUCCAAGGCUAAAUACUCCUGACUGACCGAUAGUGAACCAGUACCGUGAGGGAAAGGCGAAAAGAACCCCGGCGAGGGGAGUGAAAAAGAACCUGAAACCGUGUACGUACAAGCAGUGGGAGCACAGAGCAAUCUGUGUGACUGCGUACCUUUUGUAUAAUGGGUCAGCGACUUAUAUUCUGUAGCAAGGUUAACCGAAUAGGGGAGCCGAAGGGAAACCGAGUCUUAACUGGGCGUUAAGUUGCAGGGUAUAGACCCGAAACCCGGUGAUCUAGCCAUGGGCAGGUUGAAGGUUGGGUAACACUAACUGGAGGACCGAACCGACUAAUGUUGAAAAAUUAGCGGAUGACUUGUGGCUGGGGGUGAAAGGCCAAUCAAACCGGGAGAUAGCUGGUUCUCCCCGAAAGCUAUUUAGGUAGCGCCUCGUGAAUUCAUCUCCGGGGGUAGAGCACUGUUUCGGCAAGGGGGUCAUCCCGACUUACCAACCCGAUGCAAACUGCGAAUACCGGAGAAUGUUAUCACGGGAGACACACGGCGGGUGCUAACGUCCGUCGUGAAGAGGGAAACAACCCAGACCGCCAGCUAAGGUCCCAAAGUCAUGGUUAAGUGGGAAACGAUGUGGGAAGGCCCAGACAGCCAGGAUGUUGGCUUAGAAGCAGCCAUCAUUUAAAGAAAGCGUAAUAGCUCACUGGUCGAGUCGGCCUGCGCGGAAGAUGUAACGGGGCUAAACCAUGCACCGAAGCUGCGGCAGCGACACUGUGUGUUGUUGGGUAGGGGAGCGUUCUGUAAGCCUGUGAAGGUGUGCUGUGAGGCAUGCUGGAGGUAUCAGAAGUGCGAAUGCUGACAUAAGUAACGAUAAAGCGGGUGAAAAGCCCGCUCGCCGGAAGACCAAGGGUUCCUGUCCAACGUUAAUCGGGGCAGGGUGAGUCGACCCCUAAGGCGAGGCCGAAAGGCGUAGUCGAUGGGAAACAGGUUAAUAUUCCUGUACUUGGUGUUACUGCGAAGGGGGGACGGAGAAGGCUAUGUUGGCCGGGCGACGGUUGUCCCGGUUUAAGCGUGUAGGCUGGUUUUCCAGGCAAAUCCGGAAAAUCAAGGCUGAGGCGUGAUGACGAGGCACUACGGUGCUGAAGCAACAAAUGCCCUGCUUCCAGGAAAAGCCUCUAAGCAUCAGGUAACAUCAAAUCGUACCCCAAACCGACACAGGUGGUCAGGUAGAGAAUACCAAGGCGCUUGAGAGAACUCGGGUGAAGGAACUAGGCAAAAUGGUGCCGUAACUUCGGGAGAAGGCACGCUGAUAUGUAGGUGAAGUCCCUCGCGGAUGGAGCUGAAAUCAGUCGAAGAUACCAGCUGGCUGCAACUGUUUAUUAAAAACACAGCACUGUGCAAACACGAAAGUGGACGUAUACGGUGUGACGCCUGCCCGGUGCCGGAAGGUUAAUUGAUGGGGUCAGCGCAAGCGAAGCUCUUGAUCGAAGCCCCGGUAAACGGCGGCCGUAACUAUAACGGUCCUAAGGUAGCGAAAUUCCUUGUCGGGUAAGUUCCGACCUGCACGAAUGGCGUAAUGAUGGCCAGGCUGUCUCCACCCGAGACUCAGUGAAAUUGAACUCGCUGUGAAGAUGCAGUGUACCCGCGGCAAGACGGAAAGACCCCGUGAACCUUUACUAUAGCUUGACACUGAACAUUGAGCCUUGAUGUGUAGGAUAGGUGGGAGGCUUUGAAGUGUGGACGCCAGUCUGCAUGGAGCCGACCUUGAAAUACCACCCUUUAAUGUUUGAUGUUCUAACGUGGAC